GUUAGCGGCGGACGGGUGAGUAACACGUGGGUAACCUACCUAUAAGACUGGAAUAACUCCGGGAAACCGGGGCUAAUGCCGGAUAACAUAUCGAACCGCAUGGUUCGAUAGUGAAAGACGGUCUUGCUGUCACUUAUAGAUGGACCCGCGCCGUAUUAGCUAGUUGGUGAGGUAACGGCUCACCAAGGCAACGAUACGUAGCCGACCUGAGAGGGUGAUCGGCCACACUGGAACUGAGACACGGUCCAGACUCCUACGGGAGGCAGCAGUAGGGAAUCUUCCGCAAUGGGCGAAAGCCUGACGGAGCAACGCCGCGUGAGUGAUGAAGGUCUUCGGAUCGUAAAGCUCUGUUGUUAGGGAAGAACAAAUGUGUAAGUAACUGUGCACAUCUUGACGGUACCUAACCAGAAAGCCACGGCUAACUACGUGCCAGCAGCCGCGGUAAUACGUAGGUGGCAAGCGUUAUCCGGAAUUAUUGGGCGUAAAGCGCGCGUAGGCGGUUUUUUAAGUCUGAUGUGAAAGCCCACGGCUCAACCGUGGAGGGUCAUUGGAAACUGGAAAACUUGAGUGCAGAAGAGGAAAGUGGAAUUCCAUGUGUAGCGGUGAAAUGCGCAGAGAUAUGGAGGAACACCAGUGGCGAAGGCGGCUUUCUGGUCUGUAACUGACGCUGAUGUGCGAAAGCGUGGGGAUCAAACAGGAUUAGAUACCCUGGUAGUCCACGCCGUAAACGAUGAGUGCUAAGUGUUAGGGGGUUUCCGCCCCUUAGUGCUGCAGCUAACGCAUUAAGCACUCCGCCUGGGGAGUACGGUCGCAAGACUGAAACUCAAAGGAAUUGACGGGGACCCGCACAAGCGGUGGAGCAUGUGGUUUAAUUCGAAGCAACGCGAAGAACCUUACCAAAUCUUGACAUCUUUUGACCACUCUAGAGAUAGAGUUUUCCUCUUCGGAGGACAAAAUGACAGGUGGUGCAUGGUUGUCGUCAGCUCGUGUCGUGAGAUGUUGGGUUAAGUCCCGCAACGAGCGCAACCCUUGAGCUUAGUUGCCAUCAUUAAGUUGGGCACUCUAAGUUGACUGCCGGUGACAAACCGGAGGAAGGUGGGGAUGACGUCAAAUCAUCAUGCCCCUUAUGAUUUGGGCUACACACGUGCUACAAUGGACAAUACAAAGGG
rnacentral:rRNA from 1 species